AUACGGAGGGUCCAAGCGUUAUCCGGAUUCAUUGGGUUUAAAGGGUCCGCAGGCGGGAAAAUAAGUCAGUGGUGAGAGCCUACAGCUCAACUGUAGAACUGCCAUUGAUACUGUUUUUCUUGAGUAUAGAUGAAGUGGGCGGAAUAUAUCAUGUAGCGGUGAAAUGCAUAGAUAUGAUAUAGAACACCGAUUGCGAAGGCAGCUCACUAAACUAUUACUGACGCUCAGGGACGAAAGCGUGGGGAGCGAACAGGAUUAGAAACCCUAGUAGUCC
rnacentral:rRNA from 1 species